rnacentral:rRNA from 1 species
UACGUAGGGUGCAAGCGUUGUCCGGAAUUAUUGGGCGUAAAGAGCUCGUAGGCGGUCUGUUGCGUCGGCUGUGAAAACUCGGGGCUCAACUCCGGGCCUGCAGCCGAUACGGGCAGACUAGAGUUCGGCAGGGGAGACUGGAAUUCCUGGUGUAGCGGUGAAAUGCGCAGAUAUCAGGAGGAACACCGGUGGCGAAGGCGGGUCUCUGGGCCGAUACUGACGCUGAGGAGCGAAAGCGUGGGGAGCGAACAGG